AGAACAGGCAAUCAUCGAGUGAUCCAUCCCCUGUUGUCCACUCUCACUUUCUGGCAAAAAGAGGCUAGGGACACUCAAAGCAUGGUGUUCCAUCCCUGACUGCCCUGCUCAAUAGCCAUUGAUGGACUUAUCCUCCAUGAAUUUAUCU